rnacentral:rRNA from 1 species
CGGUGGAUGCCUUGGCAUGCUGGGCCGAUGAAGGACGUGUGAGGCUGCGUUAUGCCUCGGGGAGUUGCCAACAAAGCGUUGAUCCGAGGAUGUCCGAAUGGGGAAACCCCGUACCAGUUGUGUGGUGCGACCUGCAGGUGAAUGCAUAGCCUGUUUAGGGGGUGUACGCGGGGAAGUGAAACAUCUCAGUACCCGCAGGAGAAGAAAACAAUUGUGAUUCCGUGUGUAGUGGCGAGCGAUAGCGGAUGAGGCUAAACCAUGUGUGUGUGAUACCUGGGUAGGGGUUGCGCAUGUGGGGUUGUGGGGUUGCAACAAGGUGGGUUACCUGACCACCGCAACAGUUCGAGUGUGUGUAAGCGGAAGCGCCUGGGAUGGUGCACCGGAGUAGGUGAUGAGUCCUGUACGUGAAUGCGCAUGCUGGUGUUGUGUUGUUGUCCCCGAGUAGCAGCGGGCUCGUGGAAUCUGCUGUGAAUCUGCCGGGACCACCCGGUAAGCCUAAAUACUCAGUGUGACCGAUAGUGGAUAGUACCGUGAGGGAAUGGUGAAAAGUACCCCGGGAGGGGAGUGAAAGAGUUCCUGAAACCGUGCGCUUACAAUCCGUCAGAGCAC